AAGAAUUAAAUGGAUGAAAUAUGAAGUUUUAUUAAAAGAAAAAGGGGUGAAAAGAACAAAGUUUUGUCCAUCUUUGUUCAUCAUAGCUGAAAGUUAGAGAAGAGAAAGGAGAGGAGAAAGCUCUUGAGUAUUCGGUCAUUAGGAGGAGGAAAAUUGAAGGUAAUCCCCAACCAUAGUGGGCUUGGAGCUGUGAGGGAAUUCGGAGUGGCCACCCGUUCUGAAAGUUUGAUUUUCUUCUGGUGAACUGGACAUCCUUUUAUUUACGUUUGAAGUUUUGGGUUUUCAAAUGUAAUAAGGCCGCUUAAUUAUUUUUGAUGGUUUUAAUAUGUAUUACUAAGAUAGGUAUUACUUA